rnacentral:rRNA from 1 species
CGAUUCCCUACGGGGUGCAGCAGGCGCGAAAACUUUACAAUGCGGGAAACCGUGAUAAGGGAACUCCGAGUGUCCGUAAAUGCGGACUGUCCGUAUGUCUAAAAAGCAUGCGAAGAAAGGGCCGGGCAAGACCGGUGCCAGCCGCCGCGGUAAUACCGGCGGCUCGAGUGGUGGCCACUAUUAUUGGGCUUAAAGCGUUCGUAGCUGGAUUGUUAAGUCUCUUGGGAAAUCUACCGGCUUAACCGAUAGGCGUCCAAGGGAUACUGGCAAUCUAGGGACCGGGAGAGGUGAGGGGUACUUCAGGGGUAGGAGUGAAAUCCUGUAAUCCUUGGGGGACCACCUGUGGCGAAGGCGCCUCACCAGAACGGCUCCGACAGUGAGGGACGAAAGCUGGGGGGGCAAACCGGAUUAGAUACCCGGGUAGUCCCAGCCGUAAACGAUGCGCGUUAGGUGUAUCGAUGACCACGAGUCAUCGAGGUGCCGAAGGGAAACCGUGAAACGCGCCGCCUGGGAAGUACGGUCGCAAGGCUGAAACUUAAAGGAAUUGGCGGGGGAGCACCACAACAGGUGGAGCCUGCGGUUUAAUCGGACUCAACGCCGGAAAUCUCACCGGAUAAGACAGCUGAAUGAUAGUCGGGCUGAAGACUCUACUUGACUAGCUGAGAGGAG